rnacentral:tRNA from 1 species
UUCCCUGUAGCUCAGUUGGUAGAGCAUGUACAGAACUGUGAAGAAUGUUCCCUAAUUGUGGUGAUAUUUACAGUUACUUCAGAUUUGUAAUCUCAGGGUCCUUGGUUCGAGUCCAAGCAGGGAAG